rnacentral:rRNA from 1 species
AAUUAAGCGGAGGAAAAGAAACUAACUAGGAUUCCCUUAGUAGCUGCGAGCGAACAGGGAUUAGCCCAGCACUGAAUCCCGCGGCCGGCACCGGACGCAGGGAAAUGUAGUGUUAGGGAGGAUCCGUUUAUCCCGAGGCUUUGCGAUGCGUCCAAGUCCUUCUUGAACGGGGCCACAGCCCAUAGAGGGUGCCAGGCCCGUAGUGACCUUCGCAUGCCGCGGGAGGAUCUCUCCUCAGAGUCGGGUUGCUUGAGAGUGCAGCCCUAAGUGGGUGGUAAACUCCAUCUAAGGCUAAAUAUGACCACGAGACCGAUAGCGAACAAGUACCGUGAGGGAAAGUUGAAAAGCACUUUGAAGAGAGAGUUCAAGAGUACGUGAAACCGUUCAGGGGUAAACCUGAGAAACCCGAAAGGUCGAAAGGGGAAAUUCAUUCGCGUCUCGACGGUCGACGCGCGGUGUCGUGUGCGACGAACGGCCUCGGCCAGUUCGCGCCCCUCUGCCGUGCGAUCGGUCUCGAACGCGUGCACUUUUCCCCUAGUAGGACGUCGCGAUCCGUUGGGUGUCGGUCUAAGGCCCGCGGUGGAGCCCUGUCGACUUUACCGUCAGCAGGACCCGUGGUGUUCCCGGCCGGCUCGCUCGACGGUAUACAGAUGGCGCGGAGCCGCGACUCAGUUCGCGUUCGACCCGUUGCAAGCGCGCUCGCAGUCCUUGGCGAUCGGACCUGGUGCCGAUCCCGAGCUCGGGUGACUGUUGGCUUCGGUGUUCUCGAACAGACUCUGUGAAACGCCGAUCUGCGGCGCUAUAGCUUUGGGUACUUUCAGGGCCCGUCUUGAAACACGGACCAAGGAGUCUAGCAUGUGCGCGAGUCAUUGGGACAUAACGAAACCUAAAGGCGCAAUGAAAGUAAAGGUCUGCCUUGCGCAGACCUAGGGAAGAUGGGUGGUUUGCCCUAAAGUGGCCACCCCGCACUCCCGGGGCGUCUCAUUCUCAUUGCGAGAAGAGGCGCACCAAGAGCGUACACGCUGGGACCCGAAAGAUGGUGAACUAUGCCUGGUCAGGACGAAGUCAGGGGAAACCCUGAUGGAGGUCCGUAGCGAUUCUGACGUGCAAAUCGAUCGUCGGAACUGGGUAUAGGGGCGAAAGACUAAUCGAACCAUCUAGUAGCUGGUUCCCUCCGAAGUUUCCCUCAGGAUAGCUGGCGCUCGUCUUUACGAGUCUCAUCCGGUAAAGCGAAUGAUUAGAGGCAUUGGGGUCGAAACGACCUCAACCUAUUCUCAAACUUUAAAUGGGUGAGAUCUCCGGCUUGCUUGAACUUGAAGCCGCGAGAUUAGGAUCAGAGUGCCAAGUGGGCCAUUUUUGGUAAGCAGAACUGGCGCUGUGGGAUGAACCAAACGCCGAGUUAAAGCGCCUAAAUCGACGCUUAUGGGAUACCAUGAAAGGCGUUGGUAACUUAAGACAGCAGGACGGUGGCCAUGGAAGUCGGAAUCCGCCAAGGAGUGUGUAACAACUCACCUGCCGAAGUUACUAGCCCUGAAAAUGGAUGGCGCUGAAGCGUCGUGCUUAUACUCGGCCGUCAGAGGCAUGUGCGGUCACACGUGUUCAUUCGUGGGCCAUGAAGCCCUGACGAGUAGGAGGGUCGCGGCGGUGUGCGCAGAAGGGCUGGUCGUGAGACCGUCUGGAGCCGCCGUCGGUGCAGAUCUUGGUGGUAGUAGCAAAUACUCCAGCGAGGCCCUGGAGGACUGACGUGGAGAAGGGUUUCGUGUGAACAGCCGUUGCACACGAGUCAGUCGAUCCUAAGCCCUAGGCGAAAGCCGAUGUUGAUGUGGUGUAGUUCUUCUUAUAUAUAUGCAUAUAUUAAUGUUGUACACACCCUUCGGGCGAAAGGGAAUCCGGUUCCUAUUCCGGAACCCGGCAGCGGAACCGUCAAUAAGUCGGGCCCUCGCAAGAGAGUUCGUCGGGGUAACCCAAAAGGACCCGGAGACGCCGUCGGGAGAUCCGGGAAGAGUUUUCUUUUCUGCAUGAGCGUUCGAGUUCCAUGGAAUCCUCUAGCAGGGAGAUAUGGUUUGGAACGCGAAGAGCACCGCAGUUGCAGCGGUGUCCGGAUCUUCCCCUCGGACCUUGAAAAUCCGGGAGAGGGCCACGUGGAGGCGUCGCGCCGGUUCGUACCCAUAUCCGCAGCAGGUCUCCAAGGUGAAGAGCCUCUAGUCGAUAGAAUA